UACAGGGGUCUCAAGCGUUGUUCGGAUUCAUUGGGCGUAAAGGGUGCGUAGGCGGCGCGGUAAGUCGGGUGUGAAAUCUCGGGGCUUAACUCCGAAACUGCAUUCGAUACUGCCGUGCUUGAGGACUGGAGAGGAGACUGGAAUUACGGUGUAGCGGUGAAAUGCGCAGAUAUCGGGAGGAACACCAGUAGCGAAGGCGGCUCGCUGGGCCACACCUGACGCUGAGACGCGAAAGCUAGGGGAGCGAAGAGGAACUUGAUGAAGACCCUUACCGU
rnacentral:rRNA from 1 species